rnacentral:rRNA from 1 species
UACGUAGGGUGCAAGCGUUAAUCGGAAUUACUGGGCGUAAAGCGUGCGCAGGCGGUUGUGCAAGACAGAUGUGAAAUCCCCGGGCUCAACCUGGGAACUGCAUUUGUGACUGCACGGCUAGAGUGUGUCAGAGGGGGUAGAAUUCCACGUGUAGCAGUGAAAUGCGUAGAGAUGUGGAGGAAUCCGCAGUGGCGAAGGCAGGCCCUGGACUAGGACUGACGACUGCGUGGAGAGCGAAAGCGUGGGGAGCAAACAGG